rnacentral:rRNA from 1 species
UACAUGGGGUGCAAACGUUGCUCGGAAUCAUUGGGCGUAAAGGGCGCGUAGGCGGCUUGGUCAGUCCCGUGUGAAAUCCCUCGGCUCAACUGAGGAACUGCACGGGAAACUGCCUGGCUUGAGUUCGGGAGAGGGAAGCGGAAUUCCGGGUGUAGCGGUGAAAUGCGUAGAUAUCCGGAGGAACACCGGUGGCGAAGGCGGCUUCCUGGACCGACACUGACGCUGAGGCGCGAAAGCUAGGGGAGCAAACGGG